GACGCUAAAGCCAAAUGAUUACGGCGACACAUUAGAAUGAACAAAUGUCAGGUCCAAAAUCUGUUCCUCUUUGAAGGCGCAGGUUCGAAUCCUGCUGGCGUCG